rnacentral:rRNA from 1 species
GACGAACGCUGGCGGCGCGCUUAACACAUGCAAGUCGAACGGAAAGGCCUGCUUUCCCUUGUGGUUUGCGGGUACUCGGGUGGCUAACGGGUGAGUAACACGUGAGUGAUCUGCCCACAACUUGGGUAUAAGCCUGGGAAACUGGGUCUAAUUCCCGAUAGGACUGCAGGGUGGUGGCUGUGGUGGAAGACGAGUUUCGAGUGGUUGGGGAUGCGCUCGCGGCGUAUCAGCGUGUUGGUGGGGUGAUGUCCUACCAAGGCGGCGACGGGUAGCCGGCCGGAGAGGCUGGACGGCCACAUUGGGACUCAGAUACGGCCCAGACUCCUACGGGAGGCAGCAGUGGGGAAUAGUGCACAAUGGGCGGAAGCCUGAUGCAGCGACGCCGCGUGGGGGAUGACGGCCUUCGGGUGGUAAACUCCUUUCGACCGCGAGGAAGCCACCUGGUUGGAAGGGUGGUGACGGUAGUGGUAGAAGAAGCACCGGCUAACUACGUG